AAGAAACGUGGCAGCGCUUUUAUCGUGCUCCUAGCGCUAACUAAAUUUUGGUCAUUAUGUGACACCAAGAUUUGACUAAUUAUCUAAUGCAACA
rnacentral:rRNA from 1 species